UCAGUUGUGAAAGUUUGCGGCUCAACCGUAAAAUUGCAGUUGAUACUGGCUGUCUUGAGUACAGUAGAGGUGGGCGGAAUUCGUGGUGUAGCGGUGAAAUGCUUAGAUAUCACGAAGAACUCCGAUUGCGAAGGCAGCUCACUGGACUGCAACUGACACUGAUGCUCGAAAGUGUGGGUAUCAAACAGGAUUAGAUACCCUGGUAGUCCACACAGUAAACGAUGAAUACUCGCUGUUUGCGAUAUACAGUAAGCGGCCAAGCGAAAGCAUUAAGUAUUCCACCUGGGGAGUACGCCGGCAACGGUGAAACUCAAAGGAAUUGACGGGGGCCCGCACAAGCGGAGGAACAUGUGGUUUAAUUCGAUGAUACGCGAGGAACCUUACCCGGGCUUAAAUUGCACUCGAAUGAUCCGGAAACGGUUCAGCUAGCAAUAGCGAGUGUGAAGGUGCUGCAUGGUUGUCGUCAGCUCGUGCCGUGAGGUGUCGGCUUAAG
rnacentral:rRNA from 1 species